AUUGAACGCUGGCGGCAGGCCUAACACAUGCAAGUCGGGCGGGGUUUUCGGACCUAGCGGCGGACGGGUGACUAAUGCGUAGGAAGCUACCCGAUAGAGGGGGAUACCAGUUGGAAACGACUGUUAAUACCGCAUAAUGUCUACGGACCAAAGUGUGGGACCUUCGGGCCACAUGCUAUCGGAUGCGCCUACGUGGGAUUAGCUAGUUGGUGGGGUAAUGGCUCACCAAGGCGGCGAUCCCUAGCUGGUUUGAGAGGAUGAUCAGCCACACUGGAACUGAGACACGGUCCAGACUCCUACGGGAGGCAGCAGUGGGGAAUAUUGGACAAUGGGCGCAAGCCUGAUCCAGCCAUGCCGCGUGUGUGAAGAAGGCCUUCGGGUUGUAAAGCACUUUCAGUAGGGGGGAAGAGUUGAGUGUUAAUAGUACUCAGCUUUGACGUUACCUACAGAAGAAGCACCGGCUAACUCUGUGCCAGCAGCCGCCGUAAUAC
rnacentral:rRNA from 1 species